GAAAGCCGUGUACGGGAAAACUGUAUGCACGGUUUGAUGAGGGGGAGUUGGAAAAGCGCUAUUAUUUAGUGGCUCGCCAAUUCUCUACUCUAC
rnacentral:ncRNA from 1 species